UAGGGAAUCUUCGGCAAUGGACGGAAGUCUGACCGAGCAACGCCGCGUGAGUGAAGAAGGUUUUCGGAUCGUAAAGCUCUGUUGUUAGAGAAGAACGUUGGUAGGAGUGGAAAAUCUACCAAGUGACGGUAACUAACCAGAAAGGGACGGCUAACUACGUGCCAGCAGCCGCGGUAAUACGUAGGUCCCGAGCGUUGUCCGGAUUUAUUGGGCGUAAAGCGAGCGCAGGCGGUUCUUUAAGUCUGAAGUUAAAGGCAGUGGCUUAACCAUUGUACGCUUUGGAAACUGGAGGACUUGAGUGCAUAAGGGGAGGGUGGAAUUCCAUGUGUAGCGGUGGAAUGCGUAGAUAUAUUGAGGAACACCGGUGGCGAAAGCGGCUCUCUGGUCUGUAACUGACGCUGAGGCUCGAAAGCGUGGGGAGCAAACAGG
rnacentral:rRNA from 1 species